rnacentral:rRNA from 1 species
AUUGAACGCUGGCGGCAGGCUUAACACAUGCAAGUCGAGCGAGCGGCGGACGGGUGAGUAAUGUCUGGACAACUGACUGAUGGAGGGGGAUAACUACUGGAAACGGUAUCUAAUACCGCAUACCAUCAGAUGUGCCCAGAGGGGCUUAGCUAGUAGGUGUGGUAAUGGCUCACCUAGGCGACGCUCCCUAGCUGGUCUGGGAGGAUGACAAGCAACACUGGAACUGAUACACGGUCCAUACUCCUACGUGAGGCAGCAGUGUGGAAUAUUGCACAAUGGGCGCAAGCCUGAUGCAGCCAUGCCGCGUGUGUGAAGAAGGCCUUCGGGUUGUAAAGCACUUUCAGCGAGGAGGCGUUACUCGCAGAAGAAGCACCGGCUAACUCCGUGCCAGCAGCCGCGGUAAUAC